GACGUGCCUCACAAACGUUAUUCGGAAUUACUGGGCUUAAAGGGUGCGUAGGCGGCGUAGAAAGUUGGGUGUGAAAUCCCUCAGCUUAACUGAGGAAGGGCGCCCAAAACUACUAUGCUCGAGGGAGAUAGAGGAGUGCGGAACUUCGGGUGGAGCGGUGAAAUGCGUUGAUAUCCUAGGGAACACCGGUGGCGAAAGCGGCACUCUGGAUCGCUUCUGACGCUGAGGCACGAAAGCUAGGGUAGCAAACGGG
rnacentral:rRNA from 1 species